UGUAGGCAUUUUGAGUUCAAGUGGAUCGUGGUGUUACAAAUUUUCAUCUUCUAAUGAAUUCGUCAUUUCGUGGCAUGUUUUUGUGGCUGAUUUGAUUCAGAUCGUAAAAUUUAUCCCCAUUCGUAUAACGGCCAGAGACGCCACACACAGUGCAAAUGUAAGCAUGGAAGUGAAGGGGAAGAAUUGAGCGUAGCGACUAAAUCAAGUUGGCAGUUCGAUGUUUGCUUUCAUGAUCACAUCCUUCCGGCUGGAAAAAUGUAAUACAGAUGGAGAAUAUGGAUGAACUAAACACGCAGCAAAAGUGACGGAAUCGCCACACACUAUUGCGCAGUGAGUACUACAUAUUAUUCCUUUGCAGGUGUAUAAUGAUUAACAACUUUGUCUGUCAAACUAUUCCAUAA